rnacentral:rRNA from 1 species
AUCGAACGCUGGCGGCGUGCCUAAUACAUGCAAGUCGAACGAGUGGCGGACGGGUGAGUAACCCGUGGGAAGCUACCCAUAAGAGGGGGAGAACUAAUGGAAACGGUGGCUAUUACCGCAUACUCUAGGAUGGACCAAUAUGGGAUUAGCUAGUGGGGGGGGUAAAGGCUCACCUAGGCGACGAUCUGUAGCUGGUCUGAGAGGAUGAUCAGCCACACGGGGACUGAGACACGGCCCAGACUCCUACGGGAGGCAGCAGUGGGGAAUAUUGCACAAUGGGCGCAAGCCUGAUGCAGCCAUGCCGCGUGUAUGAAGAAGGCCUUAGGGUUGUAAAGUACUUUCAGCGGGGAGGCGUUACCCGCAGAAGAAGCACCGGCUAACUCCGUGCCAGCAGCCGCGGUAAUAC